AUUGAACGCUGGCGGCGUGCUUAACACAUGCAAGUCGAACGGAAAGGCCCUUCGGGGUACUCGAGUGGCGAACGGGUGAGUAACACGUGGGUGAUCUGCCCUGCACUUUGGGAUAAGCCUGGGAAACUGGGUCUAAUACCGAAUAUGACCGCGCUCUUCAUGGGGUGUGGUGGAAAGCUUUUGCGGUGUGGGAUGGGCCCGCGGCCUAUCAGCUUGUUGGUGGGGUAAUGGCCUACCAAGGCGACGACGGGUAGCCGGCCUGAGAGGGCGACCGGCCACACUGGGACUGAGACACGGCCCAGACUCCUACGGGAGGCAGCAGUGGGGAAUAUUGCACAAUGGGCGAAAGCCUGAUGCAGCGACGCCGCGUGAGGGAUGACGGCCUUCGGGUUGUAAACCUCUUUCAGCAGGGACGAAGCGAGAGUGACGGUACCUGCAGAAGAAGCACCGGCCAACUACGUGCCAGCAGCCGCCGUAAGAC
rnacentral:rRNA from 1 species